rnacentral:rRNA from 1 species
AGAGUUUGAUUCUGGCUCAGGAUGAACGCUGGCGGCGUGCCUAACACAUGCAAGUCGAACGAAGCGUUUACAUGGAUUUCCUUCGGGGAUGAAGGGUUUAUGACUGAGUGGCGGACGGGUGAGUAACGCGUGGGCAACCUGCCCCGUACCGGGGGACAACAGCCGGAAACGGCUGCUAAUACCGUAUACGUUUUAAGGACCGCAUGGUCCGUAAAACAAAACUCCGGUGGUACGGGAUGGGCCCGCGUCUGAUUAGCUCGUUGGCGGGGUAACGGCCCACCAAGGCGACGAUCAGUAGCCGGCCUGAGAGGGCGGCCGGCCACAUUGGGACUGAGACACGGCCCAGACUCCUGCGGGAGGCAGCAGUGGGGAAUAUUGCACAAUGGGGGAAACCCUGAUGCAGCGACGCCGCGUGAGCGAGGAAGUACCUCGGUAUGUAAAGCUCUGUCAGCAGGGAAGAAAAUGACAGUACCUGACCAAGAAGCCCCGGCUAACUACGUGCCAGCAGCCGCGGUAAUACGUAGGGGGCAAGCGUUAUC